GCCCGCUCAGAAACUCAAAAGGAAUUGACGGGGGCCCGCACAAGCGGAGGAGCAUGUGGUUUAAUUCGAUGAUACGCGAGGAACCUUACCUGGGCUCGAACGUAAGAUGACUGUAGGUGAAAGCUUACAUCUCUUCGGAGCAUUUUACGAGGUGCUGCAUGGUUGUCGUCAGCUCGUGCCGUGAGGUGUCGGGUUAAGUCCCAUAACGAGCGCAACCCCUAUCAUUAGUUGCCAUCAGGUCAAGCUGGGGACUCUAAUGAAACUGCCUACGCAAGUAGUGAGGAAGGUGGGGAUGACGUCAAAUCAGCACGGCCCUUACGUCCAGGGCUACACACGUGCUACAAUGGCCGAUACAGAGGGCAGCUACCUGGUGACAGGAUGCAAAUCUCCAAAGUCGGUCUCAGUUCGGAUCGGAGUCUGCAACCCGACUCCGUGAAGUUGGAUUCGCUAGUAAUCGCGCAUCAGCCAUGGCGCGGUGAAUACGUUCCCGGGCCUU
rnacentral:rRNA from 1 species